rnacentral:rRNA from 1 species
ACUCCUGCGGGAGGCAGCAGUGGGGAAUUUUGGACAAUGGGCGAAAGCCUGAUCCAGCAAUGCCGCGUGAGUGAAGAAGGCCUUCGGGUUGUAAAGCUCUUUUGUCAGGGAAGAAACGGUGAGAGCUAAUAUCUCUUGCUAAUGACGGUACCUGAAGAAUAAGCACCGGCUAACUACGUGCCAGCAGCCGCGGUAAUACGUAGGGUGCAAGCGUUAAUCGGAAUUACUGGGCGUAAAGCGUGCGCAGGCGGUUUUGUAAGUCUGAUGUGAAAUCCCCGGGCUCAACCUGGGAAUUGCAUUGGGGACUGCAAGGCUAGAAUCUGGCAGAGGGGGGUAGAAUUCCACGUGUAGCAGUGAAAUGCGUAGAUAUGUGGAGGAACACCGAUGGCGAAGGCAGCCCCCUGGGUCAAGAUUGACGCUCAUGCACGAAAGCGUGGGGAGCAAACAGGAUUAGAAACCCGUGUAGUCCCA